GUUUUUCCUUUAAGUUGUAUGCAUUUUGAUUCUUGACACUUUUAAGAUACAUAGGAAUUUAAAGUUGCCAUGACUGAAAUCUAAAUAUGGAUUGUAAUGGUUCCUGAACUUUUUAAGUUCACAGUUCACUCUAAGUCAGGGAUGAUGAACUUAUGGCAUGCUUGCUCAAAGUGGUAUGCUGGAAAAUUUUUUGGGCAAAACUUAGAGCUGACAUAUAAUUUAAACUUUGGAUUGGCAUAUGAGGGAAAUUUUACAAAAAUUUUGCCAUUUCUGGCAUACACCCUUAGAAAUGUUUGCUACCAUGCUGUAGGCAUUAAUAUAAUAAUUAUUAACAUUUUUAUUUCACAUUACAACACCCAUUUGUAUUCCAC
rnacentral:lncRNA from 1 species